AUGAAUGCUGGCGGCGUGGAUGAGGCAUGCAAGUCGAAUGGGUUUAGGCCCAUGGCAGACGAGGUAGUAACACGUAGGUACGUACCCCAAAGUCAGGGAUAACCCGCCGAAAGGCGGAGUAAUACUUGAUGGUCCCGCAAGGGUAAAGAUUUAUCGCUUUGGGAACGGCCUGCGCUCUAUCAGCUUGUUGGUAAGGUAACGGCUUACCAAGGCUACGACGGAUAGGAGAGGUGAGAGCCUGACCUCCACCGAUGGAACUGCGACACGGUCCAUACUCCUACGGGAGGCUGCAGUCGAGAAUCUUCCGCAAUGGACGAAAGUCUGACGGAGCGACGCCGCGUGAUCGAUGAAGUCCUUAGGGACGUAAAGAUCUUUUAUGAGGGAGGAAGUCUAUUGACGUUACCUCAUGAAUAAGGGGCUCCCAACUCUGU
rnacentral:rRNA from 1 species